rnacentral:rRNA from 1 species
UGGAGAGUUUGAUCCUGGCUCAGGACGAACGCUGGCGGCGUGCUUAACACAUGCAAGUCGAACGGAAAGGCCCCUUCGGGGGUACUCGAGUGGCGAACGGGUGAGUAACACGUGGGUAAUCUGCCCUGCACUUCGGGAUAAGCCUGGGAAACUGGGUCUAAUACCGAAUAGGACCUCGAGGCGCAUGCCUUGUGGUGGAAAGCUUUUGCGGUGUGGGAUGGGCCCGCGGCCUAUCAGCUAGUUGGUGGGGUGACGGCCUACCAAGGCGACGACGGGUAGCCGGCCUGAGAGGGUGUCCGGCCACACUGGGACUGAGAUACGGCCCAGACUCCUACGGGAGGCAGCAGUGGGGAAUAUUGCACAAUGGGCGCAAGCCUGAUGCAGCGACGCCGCGUGGGGGAUGACGGCCUUCGGGUUGUAAACCUCUUUCAGCAGGGACGAAGCGCAAGUGACGGUACCUGCAGAAGAAGCACCGGCCAACUACGUGCCAGCAGCCGCGGUA